rnacentral:lncRNA from 1 species
AUUCAGGAAGUACACACCAACAUUAUACACAGCAGAAAGCUGAGAUAAUGAACAAAUCCAAGGAACUCAUUAAGAGCCCUAAAUAUUACAUAACAGGCAUCAAAAGGACUGCCAGAAAAUACAAAAACAAAAAACCCAAACAAGACAACAGCCUUCCAAACAGCAACAACUUCCACCACACCUUCCAGCACUCCUCCAAGUCUUCAAUUCAGUC